GAGUAAACAGCUCCUCUCCACCAGGCACAGCUGGAGCUGGCUCGUCCCAGCCCCGCCCCGCCCGGAAGACAGGGCUGGGGAAGAGACGGCUGGACCGGGCCAGCUCACCUGGAGUUUUCCGAAGGCUCAGGCUCGGGGCGUGACGGGCGGCCUCUCGCUCAGAUGACUUACUGGGCUCCGGGGCAGGGCGCACAGGGUGCUCUCUCUGCUCUUCUUUGCCCCCCAACAGAGAGGACGCAGCCCGAGUCACUUGUCCCCCACCGUCACUGACAAAGCACCGCCCAGAGUCCAAUCUCCAGGCCGCUGCCCAGGAUGGUGACCCUAAAAUGAUCAUUUCUGAGCUUGUUUACUGAGUUUCUUAACCCUGAUCCCUAAGGAAGACUCCAGUAUGGUGGCCACGCUAGGCUUCACACAAGAAUGAGGUCCCUCCUGCCGCUCCUAUUACUUCGUUUAACAUUCACAGCCCCCCACACCCAGGGGUGGCACUGUUACCCCCACUCUGGAAAUUCAAGGAACCGGCACACGGGCGGGCCCUCCUCCGCCAACCCUGCCCGGGGGAGACGUUGCUGGCAGCCGGAGCGCCUUUCCCCUCCUGGGUGUUCUCUGAGGCGAAGGCGCUGAGUGACUCAGGCUUUGUGGAAAGCCUUCUCCCGGGUGUGGUGGAUCCUCCUCCACGAUGGCCCCAUGAGCUGCCUCACCACACGGCUGGUGAGGACACCAAGCCAGCACACGGAACGGCGUUGUCAUGGUUCACAGCUCACACCGGAGAGAGCCUGUCCUGGGCAGACAGGAUGAGCUCGAGCCAGAGCCUGGGGACAGAUGGUGGCAGGAAGGGCAGGCCAAGAGAGGCCCAAGCUCUCCGGUCCCCAGCAGCCACACGUCCCUGACCUCAUUCACAGCCACAACAGGAGAAUAUUCUAGAAUGACCCAGAACUCCAGGAGCAAAGAAAGAGACAGAGCCAUCGACCAACUCCCUCCCCCCAGCCCCUGCACAAGAUCAAAGCCAGGGCUGUCGUACCCCUGUAAUCCCAGGACUCAGGAGGCUGAGGCAGGAGGAUCGCCACAAGUUCUACGCCAGCCUGGGCUACAUAGUGGUGGAUUUAUUGAAGAGGACUAGGAUCUCCGCCCAGGCAGGCCGAGACUUCUCCAGGUCCCUCUCCCAGAGGCAACCCACACCCUGGCCCAGGACGGCUCCUUGGAGGAGAGCGACAGGAACCUGGCUUCUCCCAGUUAGGCUGGCCUCCUCUUCUGGUGCAGGACAGAGCCAGGGAUGACACCAGAAGGGUCAGGUCAAAGGGACCCCGAUCCAGUCCUGGUGGGGCAGCUGCCCCUGGAACAGAACAGGAUGCCUCGGCCUCCGAGAACCAUGACCUUGACCCCGGCCUCCACAGUCAUCGGGAAGAUGUGUCCACAUAGUUUUUCAUUCCGUGUGUGAGCUUGGCUUAGGGCAUCCGAUCUACACUUGUGGUGUGGAUUGCUCUUCCACUGUUGUGUAACAAAGAAUCACAGAUUUGAUAUAAUAAAACGGUGCCCACUUAUGAACCCAUACA